GAUGAAGAACGCAGCGAAAUGCGAUAAGUAAUGUGAAUUGCAGAAUUCAGUGAAUCAUCGAAUCUUUGAACGCACAUUGCGCCCCCUGGUAUUCCGGGGGGCAUGCCUGUCCGAGCGUCAUUACAACCCUCAAGCUCAGCUUGGUGUUGGGCCCCGCCGCCCCGGCGGGCCCUAAAGUCAGUGGCGGUGCCGUCCGGCUCCGAGCGUAGUAAUUCUUCUCGCUCUGGAGGUCCGGUCGUGUGCUCGCCAGCAACCCCCAAUGUUUUUCAGGUUGACCUCGGAUCAGGUAGGGAUACCCGCUGAACUUAAGCAUAUCAAUAAGCGGAGGA
rnacentral:misc_RNA from 1 species